UGGCUUUAGGGAUGAAUUAGUCCCUAAUACCUAAUAGCCAUCUGCCUUAUUUGGUUGCUUAUGAUCAUUUUGGGAUGGAAAAUGC
rfam:Gossypium raimondii Chr09_contig_540, whole genome shotgun sequence.